UACGUAGGGAGCAAGCGUUGUCCGGAAUCAUUGGGCGUAAAGCGCGCGUAGGUGGCCCAGUAAGUCCGUUCUGAAAGUCACAGGCUCAACCUGUGAAAGCGGAUGGAUACUGCUGGGCUAGAGUCCGGAAGAGGCGAGUGGAAUUCCUGGUGUAGCGGUGGAAUGCGCAGAUAUCAGGAGGAACACCAACGGCGAAGGCAGCUCGCUGGGACGGUACUGACACUGAGGCGCGAAAGCGUGGGGAGCGAACAGG
rnacentral:rRNA from 1 species